CUGCUACUCCCUCCGUUCGGAAUUACUUGUCUCGAAUAUGGAUGUAUCUAGAACUAAAAUACGUCUAGAUACAUCCAUUCCUACGACAAGUAAUUCUGAAUGGAGGGGGUACAUU
rfam:Triticum urartu cultivar G1812 contig315081, whole genome shotgun sequence.